rnacentral:rRNA from 1 species
AGUGAACGCUGGCGGUAGGCCUAACACAUGCAAGUCGAACGGCAGCACAGUAAGAGCUUGCUCUUACGGGUGGCGAGUGGCGGACGGGUGAGGAAUACAUCGGAAUCUACUUUUUCGUGGGGGAUAACGUAGGGAAACUUACGCUAAUACCGCACACGACCUACGGGUGAAAGCAGGGGAUCUUCGGACCUUGCGCGAUUGAAUGAGCCGAUGUCGGAUUAGCUAGUUGGCGGGGUAAGGGCCCACCAAGGCGACGAUCCGUAGCUGGUCUGAGAGGAUGAUCAGCCACACUGGAACUGAGACACGGUCCAGACUCCUACGGGAGGCAGCAGUGGGGAAUAUUGGACAAUGGGCGCAAGCCUGAUCCAGCCAUACCGCGUGGGUGAAGAAGGCCUUCGGGUUGUAAAGCCCUUUUGUUGGGAAAGAAAAGCAGCAGGUUAAUACCCCGCUGUUCUGACGGUACCCAAAGAAUAAGCACCGGCUAACUUCGUG